ACAUUGAAAUCGAUUGUCAUCUUACUCGUCAUCAUCUCAAGCAUGGCACCAGUACUUUGCCUUUUGUUCCUUCUUCCUUGCAUAUUGCAGAUUUCUUUACCAAGACGCAUUCCAUCUCUCGUUUUCGUUUUCUAGUUGGUAAAAUCUCGAUGCUUGUAGCUGCUGCAUCGUGAGUUUAAGGGGAAAUGUUAAAUAAUAUUUAUAUAGUCUUAUUUAUUAAGGGUAGAAUAGUAAUUUUAAUUUAACCUAUAUAUACUUUAUUUGUAUUUAGGUUAAGACUAUGCAUUCAUAAUAAACAGAUUAUUCAGAAUUUUAACCUUUUUUUUAUUGUGUUUGAUCUUAAUUAUUUCAACAAAAAUAAUAUUUUAUUAUUUUUUUACUUUUUUUAAUUAUUUUAAUUAUUUUUUAAAGAAUGCCAUUAAAAGUAAAAUAGGCAUUGGGAGAAUGAGAAUAGUAAUUUUAUUACCUUAAUUUGUGAAAAUAGAUGCGGAAAGCACUGGUACUGACUGCUCAAAAAUAAAAUAUAGCGAGAGGAACAAAAGGAGAAGGCCUUUAGCUCUGUAUGGAAGCCAGCUUCAAGAGCAACAAGGCAAGGUAUAAGUAGAACGAUAAACAUUUAAUCCCUUGUCCUAACAUAACAAUUAUUUACACAAUAGUUCAUAGAUCAUCAAUAUCUAUCCAUGCCAUGUGUUAAAAUUCACACUUACCCUAACAAUUAUUUACACAAUACUUUAUAGAUCUCUGUGCAUUUCCAUAAAAAAGAUAGAAAUACCUUCUUCUUCUUUUUUCUCAAAACCAAUAAAAAGAAUUUCAUUAGUGAAAGACAGAAUAUCAUCAAUCUAAUGAAUAUAUUUAUAAAAGAACGACUUAAUUUAUGUUGAAAAGAGGAGAAGUAUUAAAACAAAAUAGUUUACAUGGAUUUUAAUUUACGAGUUAGAGCAGCAAUUCCCAUAAAAAAAAAUGCAAUUUGAUGACAUAAUCAAGAUAGCAUUCAUAAUAUAAUAUAAAGAUAAUGACAAAUAUAAUAAUAAUUUUUACAAGGACUCGCCUAGCAAAGAGAGAAAUGAAUGGAAGGUUGAUGAUGAUCAAUUUGACACGAUACUAGCUCCUCAUCGCUUCCAAUAAUUAAUCUAUAAGCUAUGAUCGGUCAAUGUCUUUUUUUUUUUGGAAAAUUAUGAAUAAGGAGGAAAAAAAAA
rnacentral:lncRNA from 1 species